AGGGGAGGGAGUUUUAUUUUAGCAAGUUGUUUCUUUUCUUAUCUUCCAUCCGGCAAGCUCGAAGAUUUCUGUUAUUGCUGUCUUCGGCUCUUUGGGGCACAGUUUCAAAGGGCAGAGAGUGUACCAGCUUUAGCCUUAUGUUUCUGGUUCCAGGGAACAGAAAGGAAUCAAACCAAGGGAACACAAGAACUAAGAGGUAAACUACGAAAAGUACAGUUCUGCUCUUAAGCUCCUCCUACAAGAUCCUGUCCAGAGACAUAGGAGGAGGCAAAGAUGCUGGUAAGCACUUUGUGCCAUCUUGUGCUCCCUCCCACCAGCCCUCUAUUUGGCCAAGUUCUAGUCCCACCUGCUUUGUGCCUACUGGCAUUCGCUUUCUGGUCUUUAGUGUCCUCGUCGGUAAAAUGAACGUAACAUCUCUAAUCAUCUGCAUUCACACAGUGAGGUAAAUGAUGUGAAAGGGCUUUCAAUAAGGUAGUAAGGGAAAGAGAAGAGGAUACUGACUUCCCAUUUUCCCAAUUCCUACUUCAGAACUGCUCUCCUAGGCCCCAAGCCCCUGCCUCUGUUAGCUCCUUGAUCAAUUUUUGCCUAUGGAGGGGCAAAACUACAUGGUAUCCCAUGAACAAGGACCAAUAAUUACAGACCCAUUUAUUUUCUUUGCUACUUCCCAUGACCACUUUUGAAAUGAGAAACUGGGACAAUUUCCCUGAUUGGUGGGGCCUCCUCACUAGAACAAGAGGGAGCAUGUAUGUUUCAUAAUAGGCAUUCCGUCAAGAAAUGUCCCAAGAAAAUAAAUGUACGUUUCAUAAUAGGCAUUCUGUGAUGGAAUGUCCUGAGGAGAUAAAUGCUGGAGUUGGUCUCAGCACAUCUCAGUUGUUCAUUCUGACUUGUUUGGACAAGUGAGUUACUACAGCACUCAUUUGGAAAAAUGACCAGAAAGCUACCUCCAAUUUCUCAGCCUCAACGCUGGCCUCCAUUUCUUUCUGUUCCUUCCCGCUCUCGUGUUCCAGCCCUCCUUCCUCCCCUUACUUCUCAAACUUCCUGCCCUCAGCCUCCUCUCCAGGGCCGUCCAAAUUGUUCAAUUUUCCAGCCUACUCAUUUCCCCCAGCUGACUAAUGUUGCCCCUUCCCAGCACUCUACCCCCCAGAACUCCCUGCCCAGCUCUUCCUCUGUUAAUUCCAGAGUGUCCAUAUGCCGCCGCCCUGCUUGUCAGGCACCCCUUUCCAAGUGUCCCCCUAUCUUUCCCCCUUGCCCUCCUCAUAGCCCCUCUUGCUAGUCCCCUGUACUCUAGUCCCCACACCCUAGUACCCCCCUGCAUCUUAUCCUAGAGAGAUGGCUUCCCUCCUACCGGGGCAGUUUAGAGCUGCCAGGACUGUGACCUUCCACAACCAGACCUGAUGGCUCACAAAUCUCACCCUGGCGAGAUGGUUUCCCUCAUACUGGGGCAGUUUAGAACUGCCAGGAUUGUGGAUUCUCCCAACGAGACCUGAUGGCUCACGAAUCUCACCCUGGAGAGAUGGCUUCCUUCAUACUGGGGCAGUUCAGAAGUGCCAGGACUGUGGACUCCCAGAACCAGACCUGACGGCUCACAAAUCUCACCCUGGAGAGGUGGGUUUGCUCCUACUGGGGCAGUUCAGAAGUGACAGGACUGUGGACUCCCACAACCAGACCUGAUGGCUCACAAAUCUCACCCUGCAGAGAUGGCUUCCCUCCUACUGGGACAGUUCAGAAUUGUCAGGACUGUGGAUUCCCAGAAGCCUGAUUUGAUGGACGUAGAAAAUGAAAGACGGUAAACCAACGUUCAGCCUCAAUUCAGUAGACAUGGUCUCCCAAUCAAUGGAAGAAAAGCAUCAAAUAAAAGGAAGCUGAAACCACCACCAUCACUAUGGAUAGUACUGACAUUGGGAAGUAAUUACUAACAUCUCUGUCAUCUCUCUGGCCGGCUAGGGCCCGACGAAGUCAGAGCCAUGUGCAAAUAACUCUAUGUUAAACGGAGAAUGCCACAGUAUGAGUGACAUUUGCUCUGAAGAGUCACCCAGACUAACUUAAAUUGUGUUCAGUAAGUUCUGUUUCAAAAUCCAUUUUAAUAAAAUCUU